rnacentral:lncRNA from 1 species
UGCCGUUAGACACAUGGCGCCGAGGGUACGUGACGUCGCCGGGUAGCUUUCACUACUUUCGUGGUGGGUUCUUGGAAAUGGCUCCGGCGUUGAGCUAAAGAAAACCCCGUUUGCUUGUCUGUGUGCCCAGGAAAUGUGCGCCGUCAAUAUUUAUUGCGUGUGUUGUGAACUGAAUUGACCCACGGUGCCAACUCUGUGCCCGAGGAGUACUGACCGAACCGCGAUCGGGCCCGACGGCCCAGCGACGCAUUGCGGGCGCUGCCAGCCGACCUAGGUGAGGCUGCUUCAGCGCACCGUAGGACCCGCGCCAUCGUUGGCUUCACCGGGAACAGCUUCUUUCGUAUAAACUUGAAAGAAGUCUUGGGACCAAAGCGGCGCAGAG